ACUCUUCAACGACGAACAUCACCAACUGAUGUUUCAACGAUUUUACAUUUAUACGGCUAUCAUCAAAGAAAUGUAAAUAAAUUUACGGCAUUUUCGAUAAAAAGAUUGUAAAUUUUAUUGUGCGAGAGACAAACAAUUACUAUAGCUUCCGUACUUCUGAUAACAAUCCGUUAAGAAAUCAAAAAUCUUCAAGUGGUUGUAAGAAAACGAAAAAGAUCCAAACGAAAAUAAUUAUAAAAAUUACCCUAACAAAAAAGAUUUUUUUCUUUUUCUUUUUUACAUAUAUAUAUGGUUUUUCCCCAUUUGGUGCAUAUUCAUGCAUCCCUUUCCCACCGUUACGCAUUUUGUGCACGUGAUACCUAAAUUCAUGUUUGUAUUUUCCCGGAUAGCUUUCGUUUCGUUAUCAUUUCCGCAAAUAUAUGUACUAUAUUCGGAUAUUUACAUUCUGUCUACUCAAAACGAAAGAUCGCCGAUCGCCCCACAUUAAAAUACGGCGAUCGAAAGAUUGCCUAAAAUACAAAUCAAAAACUCAAGAAAAAAAAGAGGAAGAAAGAAAGAAAGAAAAAAAGCAUCAAUUGAAGACGUCCUCGAUUAGUCCCGAAGGUCGCUAAAUGUUUUAUAUGUACUUAAAACCAAAGAAUAUUGAAGACGUCCUCGAUUAGUCCCGAAGGUCGCUACAAAACCACAUUAAAAUACAAAUCAAAAACUCAAGAAAAAAGGAGGAAGAAAGAAAGAAAGAAAAAAAGCAUCAAUCGAAGACCAAUGUCCUCGAUUAGUCCCGAAGGUCGCUAAAUGUUUUAUAUGUACUUAAAACCAAAGAAUAUUGAAGACGUCCUCGAUUAGUCCCGAAGGUCGCUACAAAACCACAUUAAAAUACAAAUCAAAAACUCAAGAAAAAAGGAGGAAGAAAGAAAGAAAGAAAAAAAGCAUCAAUUGAAGACGUCCUCGAUUAGUCCCGAAGGUCGCUAAAUGUUUUAUAUGUACUUAAAACCAAAGAAUAUUGAAGACGUCCUCGAUUAGUCCCGAAGGUCGCUACAAAACCACAUUAAAAUACAAAUCAAAAACUCAAGAAAAAAGGAGGAAGAAAGAAAGAAAGAAAAAAAGCAUCAAUCGAAGACCAAUGUCCUCGAUUAGUCCCGAAGAUAACCAAAGAAUAUAUUAGUGAAAAAUCUGAUUAGAGAAAUCAGAGGGCUGAAGUAGCAAAGGAUCUUCUCAAGCAAAUUGGUUAAGCUGACAGCAGUGAAAUUAUUCCCCAUGUUGAUCAGUUUAUUAACAAGAAUGGUGUCUCAAAAGAUGAAAUCCUAACUAUAUCUGCCAUCUUGCCUAUUUCAACUUUUCCUUUCAAUUUUCACCCGUGUUGCUCUGAUGUCACUGUGUCUACAUAAAGUAUUUCUGGAGCAUUUGUUUUGAAAAUUAGACUUUCGACCAUCAAACCAAAUCCAUUCUUCUUCAAAGACUGAUAUUUUAAAACAUUGUUUAAAAUUUUGUGUUCUCAAGCAUUUUGUGAAAGACUUUUCAUUCCUAUCUAUGUUUGCCUAUGUUCUUUGGUGUGUCUUGUUGCACACCAUGACAGUAUAAUUUCUUAUGGGGAGGAAAAAAAAAUUUAGAGACUCGGAGAGAGCUGAAGAGUUUCGUUAUGGGAGAGAAUUUAAUUCAUUUAUAAUUAUAAAUGCAAAAUUCUGUUUGUCCGUCCAUCUGGGACCUCUGUAUCUCAGUCUAUAUUUGCUCUACAUAGACAUAUUAUACCUAUUUUGAAUCAUGAUGAUCCCACGAUUGAAAAUCUGCCCUUCAUUUGAUUCUUGAACAUCCAGCAUUGGGAUCAGGUCUAGAUGAGGAUUUGUUAUCUGCUAAUAGUUGAAAAUUCAAAUUUUAAAAGAACUCCAAAAAUUUGUGAACUUUUUUCAUUUAAACUGAAUUUAAAAUAAUACCAUAUUGGUUGGGUAAUACCAUACUGGUAGGGUAUCAAUAAAUGCUUUAUUAUUAUUGCUCUCUUUAGUUUGGGGCUGCAGGCCCAAUUAGCCCUCCAUAGGAGCUAGCUUAAAAGUCCACAUGGAGUACAACUUUUAAGCUAGUAUAAUCUAAAUGUAAAAAAUUGCUUUGAGAUUGUCUUGCACAGUGUUGUAAAUCAAAUUUAAAGCUAUCUACCUUGUGUGAAAAAGUAAAGUAGAAGCAAUAAAGUAGGAUUCAACAAAAGAGCAAUUUUGGUUCACAUUCUUUGUCCAAACACCUCAACAAUCAUAUCCAAAUGAUUGAGUAAUAUAUUUUCAUAUUGAAUUAAAAUUUCCCCAAAUUACUACAUUUUUUUCCAUUCAGAAUGGAAUUUAUUGUGGUUUUUUAAAUUCUGAAUUAACCUUUUCUCUCUUUUGUCCUCACUGCCUCUCAAGCCUGGCAUCUUUCCUUCUUCCUUUUAAACCUACUGCUUCAUUAGUAACUUGCUCAUAUGAGUUCACCUACAUACACACACACAACUGUGACACAAAUGUAACUUACUAAAUACCAUGCAAUCCAAUGAAAUAUCAACAGUGGAGUCCAUCACUGCCAAUAUUAAAGGAUCACCAGCAAUACACCAGAUCUUAUUGAUGUUUUGUUAAUGUAGCAAGACCUAGGAUUCAAUCCCCAUUUGCUGUUAUCAGGCUAGUGCUAUGAUUAUCUGACUAUCAUCUGUUCCCUAACAUGAAAAAACACUUGGCUGGGAACUAGUAUUGCAGUGAUGGUGACAUCAUAUCUGCUGUUAUUGGACUUUUUUGAUUAACAGGACGAAAGCAUCUUCACCAAUGGGAUCCAAGCAUGUUGAAAGAUAAACUUCAUUUCAUCACAUUCCAUGAGAAUAUCUUAGUCCACCCAUGAACUUUUCAGCCAACACUCAUACUCUUACACCAAAGACUACAGUAACAAUGGAGACGAGCUCACAUUCACAAUAGUGAUGACCCAAUACCAACAAGUUAUCUCACUAUGAUGACAAUCUAUAUCACCAUGACAGUAAAUUAAGAACUGUAUAUCUCCACCUAAUACUAUAUGAGUUGCAGCAUCACUGAUGCUAAGCUGUAUCCUUUGCCUUUCCCUUGGAUAACAUCAGUGGCAUGGAGAGGGAAAGCUGGUAUGCAUGGGUAACUGCUGGUCUUCCAUAAACAGACUUGUGCCUCAGAUGGUAACUUUCUAGGUGCAAUCGCAUGGUCAUUCAUAACCAAAGAGGGUCUUUACCCUUUAUCCUUACUCUUUACUAUAUGUCUCUAUCUAACAGCCUAAUUCUGUAUUUGAAUGUACCCACUCCAGUGUUGUAUGUUAACUUCUUUGCCAUCCAAAAUAAACAGACCAUUGUGACCUCGCAAAUCUGCCUCAACCACCCUUCUACCUCACAUCUCAUAACACUUAAAGUAAUUCACUUUAUAACUGUGAGCCCUACACCCAAUCUCCACCAUCCGUUUCCCAUGCAUUCUUCCACUAACCCUGUUACUUUAUUAUCCUUUCAACAUUACUGGAAACUCUUUUAUCACAUCCUACCCAGUCCUUAUUAAAGAAUUUUGUAUGAAUAUUUUAUUUCUUAUAUUUAAUUAAAUUUUCAACAUUAACCUAGUUGAAACUGAAAUUUAAAUUCAAGUCUUGGGCAGAAAUAUCAUUAUUACAUGAAAAAUAAUAUUAGAUGCAGAAAUUUGUCUUUUAUUGAGUUCAUUAGAUAUUUCACUAAACCACUCAUAAUUCUUGAUUAUUUUAAAUAUUAAAGCCAUUCUGAGACUCCUUUUUU